rnacentral:rRNA from 1 species
CCUACGGGUGGCAGCAGUGGGGAAUAUUGCACAAUGGGGGAAACCCUGAUGCAGCGACGCCGCGUGAGUGAUGAAGUUUUUCGGUAUGUAAAGCUCCGUCAGCAGGGAAGAAAAUGACGGUACCUGACCAAGAAGCCCCGGCGAACUACGUGACAGCAGCCGCGGUAUUACGUAGGGGGCAAGCGUUAUCCGGAUGUACUGGGUUUAAAGGGUGCGUAGGGUGUGAGGUAAGUCAGCGGGGAAAUGCCCCCGCUCAACGGGGUGGAGUGCCAUUGAUACUGCCUUGCUGGAAUGCGGAUGCGGUGGGAGGAAUGUGUGGUGUAGCGGUGAAAUGCAUAGAUAUCACACAGAACCCCGAUUGCGAAGGCAUCUCACGAAUCCGCGAUUGACGCUGAUGCACGAAAGCGUGGGUAUCAAACAGGAUUAGAUACCCGAGUAGUC